GAUGAACGCUGGCGGCGUGCCUAAUACAUGCAAGUCGAGCGAACGGACGAGAAGCUUGCUUCUCUGAUGUUAGCGGCGGACGGGUGAGUAACACGUGGAUAACCUACCUAUAAGACUGGGAUAACUUCGGGAAACCGGAGCUAAUACCGGAUAAUAUUUUGAACCGCAUGGUUCAAAAGUGAAAGACGGUCUUGCUGUCACUUAUAGAUGGAUCCGCGCUGCAUUAGCUAGUUGGUAAGGUAACGGCUUACCAAGGCAACGAUGCAUAGCCGACCUGAGAGGGUGAUCGGCCACACUGGAACUGAGACACGGUCCAGACUCCUACGGGAGGCAGCAGUAGGGAAUCUUCCGCAAUGGGCGAAAGCCUGACGGAGCAACGCCGCGUGAGUGAUGAAGGUCUUCGGAUCGUAAAACUCUGUUAUUAGGGAAGAACAUAUGUGUAAGUAACUGUGCACAUCUUGACGGUACCUAAUCAGAAAGCCACGGCUAACUACGUGCCAGCAGCCGCGGUAAUACGUAGGUGGCAAGCGUUAUCCGGAAUUAUUGGGCGUAAAGCGCGCGUAGGCGGUUUUUUAAGUUCUGAUGUGAAAGCCCACGGCUCAACCGUGGAGGGUCAUUGGAAACUGGAAAACUUGAGUGCAGAAGAGGAAAGUGGAAUUCCAUGUGUAGCGGUGAAAUGCGCAGAGAUAUGGAGGAACACCAGUGGCGAAGGCGACUUUCUGGUCUGUAACUGACGCUGAUGUGCGAAAGCGUGGGGAUCAAACAGGAUUAGAUACCCUGGUAGUCCACGCCGUAAACGAUGAGUGCUAAGUGUUAGGGGGUUUCCGCCCCUUAGUGCUGCAGCUAACGCAUUAAGCACUCCGCCUGGGGAGUACGACCGCAAGGUUGAAACUCAAAGGAAUUGACGGGGACCCGCACAAGCGGUGGAGCAUGUGGUUUAAUUCGAAGCAACGCGAAGAACCUUACCAAAUCUUGACAUCCUUUGACAACUCUAGAGAUAGAGCCUUCCCCUUCGGGGGACAAAGUGACAGGUGGUGCAUGGUUGUCGUCAGCUCGUGUCGUGAGAUGUUGGGUUAAGUCCCGCAACGAGCGCAACCCUUAAGCUUAGUUGCCAUCAUUAAGUUGGGCACUCUAAGUUGACUGCCGGUGACAAACCGGAGGAAGGUGGGGAUGACGUCAAAUCAUCAUGCCCCUUAUGAUUUGGGCUACACACGUGCUACAAUGGACAAUACAAAGGGCAGCGAAACCGCGAGGUCAAGCAAAUCCCAUAAAGUUGUUCUCAGUUCGGAUUGUAGUCUGCAACUCGACUACAUGAAGCUGGAAUCGCUAGUAAUCGUAGAUCAGCAUGCUACGGUGAAUACGUUCCCGGGUCU
rnacentral:rRNA from 1 species